CCCUUAGAUGUUCUGGGCCGCACGCGCGCUACACUGAUGCAUUCAACAAGCCUAGCCUUGACCGAGAGGUCCGGGUAAUCUUUGAAACUGCAUCGUGAUGGGGCUAGAUUAUUGCAAUUAUUAAUCUUCAACGAGGAAUGCCUAGUAAGCGUGAUUCAUCAAAUCGCGUUGAUUACGUCCCUGCCCUUUGUACACACCGCCCGUCGCUCCUACCGAUUGAAUGUGUUGGUGAGGAGCUCGGAUUGGCAGCAGUUGGUGGUUCGCCACCGGCUAUUGCUGAGAAGUCCUCCAAACCGCNCNAUUUAANGGAAGGAGAANUCGUANCA
rnacentral:rRNA from 1 species